ensembl:snoRNA
GCCAUGACAUGAUGUAAACAAAAGGCCGAAUUGUAGCAUCUCCACCAGGCAGUUUGUUCUCCGUGUGGAGGUGCUUUGACAAAUACCCGACCGAAGUGAUUCACUGAUCAGAUGGC